rnacentral:rRNA from 1 species
CAAUAGCGUAUAUUAAAGUUGUUGCGGUUAAAAAGCUCGUAGUUGGAUUUCUGCUGAGAACGACCGGUCCGCCCUUUGGGUGUGUAUCUGGCUCUUUCUUGGCAUCUUCUUGGUGAACGUUGCUGCACUUGACUGUGUGGAGCGCUACCCAGGACUUUUACUUUGAGGAAAUUAGAGUGUUUCAAGCAGGCAUACGCCUUGAAUACAUUAGCAUGGAAUAAUAAGAUAGGACCUCGGUUCUAUUUUGUUGGUUUCUAGGGCUGAGAUAAUGAUUAAUAGGGAUAAUUGGGGGCAUCUGUAUCAACGCGUCAGAGGUGGAAUUCUUGGAUUGCGUUGCGACAAACUACUGCGAAAGCAUUUGCCAAGGAUGUUUUCAUUAA